GAUGAAGAACGUAGCGAAAUGCGAUACUUGGUGUGAAUUGCAGAAUCCCGUGAACCAUCGAGUCUUUGAACGCAAGUUGCGCCCGAAGCCAUCAGGUUGAGGGCACGUCUGCCUGGGCGUCACAUAUCGUUGCCCAAUGCCUAUUGCAGUGCAAUAGGAAUUUCUAGGGCGAAUGAUGGCUUCCCGUGAGCGUUGUUGCCUCGCGGUUGGUUGAAAAUCGAGUCCUUAGUAGGGUGUGCCAUGGUAGAUGGUGGUCGAGUUAGAACGAUACCGAUCAUGUGCAUGCUCCCCAAAAUAUGGCCUCUAUGACCCACACGCGUCUUUUGACGCUCAUGACGAGACCUCAGGUCAGGCGGGGCUACCCGCUGAAUUUAAGCAUAUCAAUAAGCGGAGGA
rnacentral:misc_RNA from 1 species